AUACGUAGGUGACAAGCGUUAUCCGGAUUUACUGGGCGUAAAGGGCGUGUAGGCGGUCUUGCAAGUCAGAAGUGAAAUUCCUGAGCUCAACUCGGGCGCUGCUUCUGAAACUGCAGGACUUGAGUGCUGGAGGGGAUAGCGGAAUUCCUAGUGGAGCGGUAAAAUGCGCAGAUAUUAGGAAGAACACCGGUGGCGAAGGCGGCUAUCUGGACAGUAACUGACGCUGAGGCGCGAAAGCGUGGGGAGCAAACAGGAUGAGAUGCCCUGGUAGUCCACGCCGUAAACGAUGAAUACUAGGUGUAGGGGGUAUCGACUCCCUCUGUGCCGCAGUUAACACAAUAAGUAUUCCGCCUGGGGAGUACGGCCGCAAGGUUGAAACUCAAAUGAAUUGACGGGG
rnacentral:rRNA from 1 species